rnacentral:rRNA from 1 species
UACGUAGGGGUGCAAGUCGUUGUCCGGAAUUAUUUGGGGCGUAAAGAGCUUGUAGGGCGGUUUGUCGCGUCUGCUGUGAAAUUUCGGGGGCUCACCCCCGAACUUUGCAGUGGGGGUACGGGGGCAGGACUAGAGUGUGGUAGGGGGAGACUGGGAAUUCCUGGUGUAGCGGUGAAAAUUGCGGCAGGAUAUCAGGGAGGGAACACCGAUGG